UACGGGGGGGGCAAGCGUUGUUCGGAAUUACUGGGCGUAAAGGGCUCGUAGGCGGCCAACUAAGUCAGACGUGAAAUCCCUCGGCUUAACCGGGGAACUGCAUCUGAUACUGGAUGGCUUGAGUUCGGGAGAGGGAUGCGGAAUUCCAGGUGUAGCGGUGAAAUGCGUAGAUAUCAGGAAGAACACCCGUGGCGAAGGCGGCUCUCUGGGACGGUACUGACGCUGAGACGCGAAAGCGUGGGGAGCGAACAGG
rnacentral:rRNA from 1 species